UAGUGAUGUCUGAGUACUAUCUAAUAGUUAAAACUUUCNACNNCGGAUCUCUUGGUUCUGGCAUCGAUGAAGAACGCAGCGAAAUGCGAUAAGUAAUGUGAAUUGCAGAAUUCAGUGAAUCAUCGAAUCUUUGAACGCACAUUGCGCCCUGUGGUAUUCCGCAGGGCAUGCCUGUUCGAGCGUCAUUUAACCACUCACGCCUAGCGUGGUAUUGGGGCGCGCGGUCUCGCGGCCCUCAAAAUUAGUGGCGGCGCCGGUGGGCUCUAAGCGUAGUACAUACUCCCGCUAUAGAGUUCCCCCGGUGGCUCGCCAGAACCCCCAAUUUUUUUUUACAGGUUGACCUCGGAUCAGGUAGGGAUACCCGCUGAACUUAAGCAUAUCAAUAAGCGGAGGAAAAGAAACCAACAGGGAUUACCUCAGUAACGGCGAGUGAAGCGGUAACAGCUCAAAUUUGAAAGCUGCCAACAGGCCGCGUUGUAAUUUGUAGAAGCUGCUUUGGGUGUCGGCCCGGUCUAAGUUCCUUGGAACAGGACGUCAUAGAGGGUGAGAAUCCCGUAUGUGAUCGGUGCCGUUGCCCUUGUAAAGCGCUUUCGACGAGUCGAGUUGUUUGGGAAUGCAGCUCAAAAUGGGUGGUAAAUUUCAUCUAAAGCUAAAUAUUGGCCAGAGACCGAUAGCGCACAAGUAGAGUGAUCGAAAGAUGAAAAGCACUUUGGAAAGAGAGUUAAACAGUACGUGAAAUUGUUGAAAGGGAAGCGCUUGCAACCAGACUUGCGGGCGGUCGAUCAUCCGAGGUUCUCCCCGGUGCACUCGAUCGUUCUCAGGCCAGCAUCGGUUUCCGGGGUGGGAUAAAGGCGGUGGGAAUGUGGCUCUUCGGAGUGUUAUAGCCCACCGUGCAAUGCCGCCACUGGGGACCGAGGACCGCGCUUCGGCUAGGAUGCUGGCGUAAUGGUUGUAAGCGACC
rnacentral:rRNA from 1 species